UUGAUUUUGUCAAAGAAAAUGCCGUUACAGAGGCUUAAAGGGAGGAACCAUUUAUGUUCUUUCCUUGUGAAGUGUUAACAAGGCUUAAACCUUGUACCUUUGUUUGUGUUGUUCUCUUGUUAAAACAAAAAAUAAAUGAUGGGAGAAGGAAGAACACAAAACAGCAAAUCAUGGGAGGAAGAGAUUUAUUGGUCCCAUUUUCAAUUCAUCCAUUUUACCAUUUUUCUUCAAAGCACCACCGAUUUUCAACAACAACUUGCCCUUCCUAAAAUAUUCUCGGACAAUUUAAAGAAGAAGUUGCCAGAAAAUGUGACACUUAAAGGUCCUAGUGGAGUUGUGUGGAAUAUAGGGCUGAAUACUAGAGGUGAAUCUGUUUAUUUCGUGGACGGUUGGCGACGUUUCGUGAAAGAUCACUCUUUGAAAGAGAAUGAUUUCCUUGUCUUUAAGUACAACGGUGAAUCACUCUUUGAGGUUUUAAUCUUUAAUGGAGAAAGCUUCUGUGAAAAAGCAGCUUCUUAUUUUGUUCUAGAAUGUGGACAAGCUCAUGCUGAACAAGGGGGUAACAAAGGAAAGAAUUCAAACAAAUCUGUUGAAGAAGUCAAUACUACUAACGGCAGUGUUGAAUGUGCUUCACCUGAGAAAUUUCGGAGUCUUGACAGUAUAAGAACACCUUUAGCUCUAACUUUUGAAACUACUAAUGGAAAAACUUUUAAUGCUGGUUUUAAAUCUGCUUCCCCUGAGAAGCCUGUUAUAGAAGUUACACCUGUCCAGACUAAGAAGCGAGCAAGAACACCGAAAGAAGCUAAUUCUUGGGAGAGCGCGUGUAACAAGGAACACUCAGAGGCAGCACUGUCAAAGUUAUCAAGAAAAUUAUCAAGAAAUGAUGAGGAAAAGAUAGUACAAUCAUUUUCUUCCUCUGUUCCAUAUUUUGUUAAAAUAAUCAAAACGUUUCAUGUCAGUGGUUCAUGUGUUAUGAAUAUACCCCGUCAAUUUUCUAUGGAACAUCUUAAAAAAGGCAGGAUAAAGAUUAUUCUUCAUAAUAUGAAGGGAGAAUGUUGGAUUGUCAAUUCUGUUCCUACAGCUAAAGUGCCAAAAAGUCACACUCUAUGUGCAGGAUGGAUGUCUUUUGUUCAUGCCAAUAACAUUAAAAUUGGAGAUGUCUGCAUUUUCGAACUUAUAAAUGACUGUGAAUUACGUGUUCGCAUCGCUGGGGUUGGAAAAGAAGGGCUAGACUGCCAGGUUGGAAAGGAAGGUCUUGACCAUCAAAAUGAGCAUAUGAAACUUAAUAGCAUCUAGCUAGUUACUGUUGCAUCCAUAUACAUGCUAAAGUUUGGCUUGUGAGACAGCUGAAUCAAUUUUGUGGGUGGAGUGCAACCAAAACACACAGGACUAGCAUAAAAAUGAGAUGCUCUAGCAAGCUCAUGAGCAACAUUGUUGGCUUAUCGUCAAACAUAACUGACCCUGCAAUUGUUACAGUAACAUGAGUUCCCUAUACUUAUAAUGUUACUAAGUUCAUUUUUAGGAUAUGUGGGAUUUGCUAUCUUGUUGGUCACCAUGAACUUAACCAUUUCAAUGGCACCAUGAGUAGCCAUGUUUCUGCUUCAGUCGUUGCAUGUGCACCUUGUUGCCAUCGAGAAAAUGUCUGGAUAACCAUGCCAUUUUCGUCCCUUAGACAUAAGCCACAUCCGUAUGGAUUAUCUGAUUGAAACAUAGUUGUGUUGCAUCAAUGUUGCACUUCAACGUUCCUGUACAGGGCUUCAACCAAUGUAGAGUUCUUAACACU